UCGGAAUUACUGGGCGUAAAGCGCACGUAGGCGGCUUUGUAAGUUAGAGGUGAAAGCCCAGGGCUCAACCCUGGAAUUGCCUUUAAGACUGCAUCGCUUGAACAUCGGAGAGGUAAGUGGAAUUCCGAGUGUAGAGGUGAAAUUCGUAGAUAUUCGGAAGAACACCAGUGGCGAAGGCGACUUACUGGACGAUUGUUGACGCUGAGGUGCGAAAGCGUGGGGAGCAAACAGG
rnacentral:rRNA from 1 species